rnacentral:rRNA from 1 species
AGGAUGAACGCUGGCGGCGUGCCUAACACAUGCAAGUCGAACGUCCUGUCUCGCAAGAGGCAGGGAGUGGCGGACGGGUGAGUACCACGUGGGUCAUCUACCGUGAGGUGAGGAAUACCGGCGAGAAAUCGCCGACAAGACCGCAUAGCCUCGGUGCAAGUCGAGGAAAGCUCUCUCGAGAGAGGGAGCGCCACACGAGGAGCCUGCGCCCGAUUAGCUAGCUGGUGGAGUAAUGGUUCACCAGGGCGACGAUCGGUAGCUGGUCUGAGAGGACGAUCAGCCACACUGGGAUUGAGAACGGCCCAGACUCCUACGGGGGCAGCAGUGAGGAAUUUUCGUCAAUGGGGGCAACCCUGAACGAGCAACGCCGCGUGCAGGAAGAAGGUUUCGGAUCGGUAAAACUGACUUUUCUCGGGGAAGAGAACGGACGGUACCCGAGGAAUCACGCCCGGCUAAACUACGCGCCAGCAGCCGCGGU